UACAGAGGUCCCAAGCGUUGUUCGGAUUCACUGGGCGUAAAGGGCGCGUAGGCGGCUUGAUGUGUCAAAGGUGAAAUCCCUCGGCUCAACUGAGGAACUGCCUUUGAAACUGUCUGGCUUGAGGCCGGGAGAGGGUAGCAGAAUUCCAGGUGCAGCGGUGAAAUGCGUAGAUAUCUGGAGGAAUACCGGUGGCGAAGGCGGCAUCCUGGACCGACAUUGACGCUGAUGAGCGAAAGCUAGGGGAGCAAACGGG
rnacentral:rRNA from 1 species